rnacentral:lncRNA from 1 species
CCGGGAUUUUGUCGCGUACUUUCUCAGCCAUUCCUGCCUUCCUGCCUCAGAGGGCUGAGUGAUCACCUCAGCUGAGUUGGGGGAUCCUUCCUUCUAUCCUUUGCUUUCACUCCAGAGAAAGAAGAGGACGAAAAGAAGUUUUCAAAGACAAUCCCUUUCCAAAUCCUAAAGAAGAUAAUUAACAUUGGGACACAUGGAAUCUGCUAAGCACUGAACUGGCCAGCUUCCACGAAUUAUCUGAUAAGCAUCUUUUGAGAGCCACUUUUCCAUCCCAGAUACUUGGACAAGAUAAUAGAAAAAGGCAUGAUGAACAACAAGAUCUACUACCUUGCCUUCUGGUAUUUACAAGUCUAAGGGGGUUAACAUUAACUAGGAAUUUUUAGACAAUCAUAUGGUAGUAGACAGUUCAAAUAAAUUAUUUACUAAUAUUUUAAAAAUCCGGCACAAGAGGAGACUUCCGGACUGCCGUACCUCACCCCACAAGCUCAGAGAAGGUGAGUCGCGCAGGUGCCAAGAGCACCCCCCCUCCCUCCUUUGAAAUGAGAAGACACGUAAGCAAGUUUCAAAACCAGUCUUCGAGAUCACCUAAAACCCCAAAAGGAAACGAGAUGGAACACUGUGAUACUCAACCCCCUGGACACCCUGAACUGCAACAAAAGAGGAUCUGGGAAAAAUGAAAUCAGAAAUAAUUUCUCAGAUAACAACAGAGAUUGUGCCCAUAGGGCAAGACAUGAUUAAUAAAUCUAGAGAG